rnacentral:rRNA from 1 species
AUGAGAAGUACUGAACAAGGGCCUUCUGUGAAGCCCUUUUGGUAUUAUUGGCAAUUGAAAUGCAUAAUUCUGUUACUUAACUAUCAGUUUGUGAACAAUGAGACAUCACAUAGAACAUAUUUAGCUGGACUUGUUUUUUGCUUCAUGAUCCGUACUGAUAAUCCUAGUUUAUUCAAAUUUCAUAAAAGAAGCUUCAGUUAUCAAUCAUUUCUACAGCGCACUGUGUCCAUAUGUUUGCUAAUUGUUUUCGUUCUUCAUUCUUGUAAGAACACAAUAGUGCAGUGUGGACUAUAUGUCUUUGUCUAA